GAAAUAUCGUGUUGACCCGAAGGCUAUCGCUACUCCAACACCGGUCAAGGUGAAUAUCGUCACUGCCAGCAUGGAUUCUGACUUAGAGGCGUUCAGUCAUAAUCCUACAGAUGAUAGCUUCGCGGCAUUGGC
rnacentral:rRNA from 1 species